AUUGAACGCUGGCGGCAGGCCUAACACAUGCAAGUCGAAUGGUAACAGGAAACAGCUUGCUGUUUCGCUGACGAGUGGCGGACGGGUGAGUAAUGUCUGUGAAACUGCCUGAUGGAGGGGGAUAACUACUGGAAACGGUAGCUAAUACCGCAUAACGUCGCAAGACCAAAGAGGGGGACCUUCGGGCCUCUUGCCAUCAGAUGUGCCCAGAUGGGAUUAGCUAGUAGGUGGGGUAACGGCUCACCUAGGCGACGAUCCCUAGCUGGUCUGAGAGGAUGACCAGCCACACUGGAACUGAGACACGGUCCAGACUCCUACGGGAGGCAGCAGUGGGGAAUAUUGCACAAUGGGCGCAAGCCUGAUGCAGCCAUGCCGCGUGUAUGAAGAAGGCCUUCGGGUUGUAAAGUACUUUCAGCGGGGAGGAAGGGAGUAAAGUUAAUACCUUUGCUCAUUGACGUUACCCGCAGAAGAAGCACCGGCUAACUCCGUG
rnacentral:rRNA from 1 species